CAGUAGCCGCGGUAAUACAGAGGGUGCAAGCGUUAAUCGGAAUUACUGGGCGUAAAGCGCGCGUAGGUGGUUUGUUAAGUUGGAUGUGAAAUCCCCGGGCUCAACCUGGGAACUGCAUCCAAAACUGGCAGGCUAGAGUAGGGCAGAGGGUGGUGGAAUUUCCUGUGUAGCGGUGAAAUGCGUAGAUAUAGGAAGGAACACCAGUGGCGAAGGCGACCACCUGGGCUCAUACUGACACUGAGGUGCGAAAGCGUGGGGAGCAAACAGGAUUAGAUACCCCCGUAGUCCCUGUCUCUUAUAC
rnacentral:rRNA from 1 species